rnacentral:rRNA from 1 species
GACGAACGCUGGCGGCGUGCUUAACACAUGCAAGUCGAACGGAAAGGCCCUGCUUUUGUGGGGUGCUCGAGUGGCGAACGGGUGAGUAACACGUGAGUAACCUGCCCUUGACUUUGGGAUAACUUCAGGAAACUGGGGCUAAUACCGGAUAGGAGCUCCUGCUGCAUGGUGGGGGUUGGAAAGUUUCGGCGGUUGGGGAUGGACUCGCGGCUUAUCAGCUUGUUGGUGGGGUAGUGACUUACCAAGGCUUUGACGGGUAGCCGGCCUGAGAGGGUGACCGGCCACAUUGGGACUGAGAUACGGCCCAGACUCCUACGGGAGGCAGCAGUGGGGAAUAUUGCACAAUGGGCGGAAGCCUGAUGCAACAACGCCGCGUGCGGGAUGACGGCCUUCGGGUUGUAAACCGCUUUCGCCUGUGACGAAGCGUGAGUGACGGUAAUGGGUAAAGAAGCACCGGCUAACUACGUG